GUCCUGCCCCGCUCCGCCCUGAGUCCCGCCCAGCCUUGCGUCCCAUCCCCAGUCCCGAAUUGCUCCGCCGGGUGCUCUCUGAUCGGCCUCGACCCGUCUGGCACAGCCUAUGCGAUCAGCCUGAGCCCGGUGGGCGCGAUCCCUGGCCGGCCGGGCAGAUGCUGGGCGCGAUGGCCGACCUUGCCCUCGCCCCGGUAACGCGGCAGGUCAGCGGCCGCGCCGCCCCGGCCGCAGUCCCUAGCGGCCCCGAGCGCGGGCAGCCCCUGGCCGCAACAGUGGCCGAGCUGUCUGUGCUGGACGCCUCCGGGAGGCAGGUGCCGUUCGGCGCGCUGUUUCGGGAGCGCCGGGUUAUCGUGGUCUUCGUGAGGCAUUUCCUGUGUUACAUCUGCAAGGAAUACGUAGAAGAUCUGGCCAAAAUCCCCAAGAGUUUCUUACAAGAAGCAAAUGUCACCCUUAUAGUGAUUGGACAGUCAUCCUACCAUCAUAUUGAGCCUUUCUGCAAACUGACUGGGUAUUCUCAUGAAAUCUAUGUUGAUCCUGAGAGAGAAAUUUAUAAAAAAUUAGGAAUGAAAAGAGGUGAAGAAAUUGCCCCUUCAGGAAAGAGUCCCCAUAUAAAAUCAAAUGUACUCUCGGGAAGCAUUCAGAGCCUGUGGAGGGCAGUGACUGGCCCUCUUUUUGAUUUUCAAGGAGACCCUGCUCAGCAAGGUGGAACCCUCAUUUUAGGUCCAGGUAACAACAUCCAUUUUAUACACCGUGAUAGAAAUAGGUUGGAUCACAAACCCAUCAACUCUGUUUUACAGCUUGUAGGAGUUCAGCAUGUGGACUUUACAAGCAGAUCUUCAGUUAUCCAUGUGUGAUGUGGGGCCAGAGUGAUAACAUGGACCAUGUGAAACUGGGAGACAAACUUUCUAAAGAAGAAACAUCAUCUACUCCAAAGUUACCAGUUAUUUUAAGAAGAGUGUUCCAGAAAAUAAUUAAAGAUGUACAGUUACAGAAGGGUGAAUCUACCUAGGAGAAAGGAAUAUUUUGGAGAACUUCUUCCCUAGUUCUUUUGCUUUUCACUGUGCUGCCCAUAAUGCUGAAGAUUAUAACCAGAUGCAUCUGUUUUCUAAGCUCAGACAAGUCAAGGAAAGACAACUGGAAUCUUGAAGAAUGUUUCAGUAUCCACUCCAGCCCUGCACUGUCACUUCUGUGGGUUCCCAUGUCCUCACUGUGAAAUGGCAGCCUUGGACCAAAUAUUGUCUAAAGUGCUUUCAAGCUCUAAAAUUUUAUGAUCAAUGGUCAAACAGUGAACAAUAAACUAACCAAUCAACCAAGCAAACUGAACUACAUUUCUUAUGGCCAAUUUCUCAGAGUUUAGAGAUUAGCUUAUUAAAUGUCAGUAAGAGUCAAAUUACUCAAGAGAAGUGCCACACAUGAAAACAAAUAUCGUAGAAAGACCACUUUUCUGUCACUACCUAAACAUGACCUAAAAAGAAAAUAUAAACAGGGUUUAAAAUUUCGAUGUGUGAGAGCAAGUUUAAGUGUCAGACUUUGCCUCAGGUCAUGAUCUGGAGGUUGGUGAGUUUGAGCCCUGCAUCGGGCUCUGUGCUAACAGCUCAGAACCUGCAGCCUACUUUGGAUUUUGUAUCCUCCCCUCUCUCUGGCCCUACCCGGCUUGUGCUCUCUCUCAAAAAUAAAU